GCCGUCGAAGGUGGGACUGGCGAUUGGGACGAAGUCGUAACAAGGUAGCCGUACCGGAAGGUGCGGCUGGAUCACCUCCUUU
rnacentral:rRNA from 1 species